rnacentral:rRNA from 1 species
UGGGGAAUAUUGGACAAUGGGGGCAACCCUGAUCCAGCGAUGCCGCGUGUGUGAAGAAGGCCUGAGGGUUGUAAAGCACUUUCAGCGGGGAGGAGGGCUGACGGGUUAAGAGCUAGUUAGUUGGACGUUACCCGCAGAAGAAGCACCGGCUAACUCCGUGCCAGCAGCCGCGGUAAUACGGAGGGUGCGAGCGUUAAUCGGAAUUACUGGGCGUAAAGGGUGCGUAGGUGGUUGAUUAAGUUAUGUGUAAAAUUCCUGGGCUCAACCUAGGGUUGCAGAUAAGACUGGUUAGCUAGAGUAUGGGAGAGGGUAGUGGAAUUUCCGGUGUAGCGGUGAAAUGCGUAGAGAUCGGAAGGAACACCGGUGGCGAAGGCGGCUACCUGGCCUAAUACUGACACUGAGGCACGAAAGCAUGGGGAGCAAACAGG